AACUUUGCGCAGUGGCAAUAACGUAACCAAUGAGGUUUUUCCGAGGUGCGAUUCUUGCUAGUUGAAAAAUAUAAUGAUGCUCUAGUAUUGCCAACUGUAACAGGUUGCUCCCCCGGCGACCAGCUUUUUUUACGUUAAAGUUUAGAAGUUUCAAUUAAUAUAUGUAUG